rnacentral:rRNA from 1 species
AAUGGGACUAAGCCAUGCGAGUUUAACGCCUUUCAACUGCGAGAGGCGUAGCGAACGGCUCAGUAACACGUUGUCAACCUGCCCUGAAGACACGAAUAACCCCGGGAAACUGGGACUAAUGUGUGAUAGAUCAGGAUACUUGGAAUAGUUCCUGAUUAAAAGGUUUGGAUAAGUUUGUUUUAUUCAUAUGCUUCAGGAUGGGACUGCGACCGAUCAGGCUGUUGGUGGGGUAAUGGCCUACCAAACCUAUAACCGGUACGGGCUUUGGGAGAAGUAGCCCGGAGAUGGACACUGAGACAAGGGUCCAGGCCCUACGGGGCGCAGCAGGCGCGAAAACUUCGCAAUGCGCGAAAGCGUGACGAGGCUAUUCCGAGUGCCACCCGCUGAGGGAGGCUUUUACUAGAAUUAAGAUAUCUAGAGAAUAAGGGGAGGGCAAGCCUGGUGUCAGCCGCCGCGGUAAUACCAGCUCCCCGAGUGGUUGGGAUGAUUAUUGGGCCUAAAGCAUCCGUAGCCUGUUCUAUAGGUCUUCUGUUAAAACUAACGGCUUAACCGUUGGAUUGCAGAAGAUACCGUAGGACUAGGAGGCGGGAGAGGCAGACGGUACUCCGGGUGUAGGGGUAAAAUCCUUUGAUCCUCGGAAGACCACCAGUGGCGAAGGCGGUCUGCCAGAACGCGCUCGACGGUGAGGGAUGAAAGCUGGGGGAGCGAACCGGAUUAGAUACCCGGGUAGUCCCAGCUGUAAACGAUGCGAGCUAGGUGAUAGAACGGCUACGGGCCGUUCUAGUGCCGCAGGGAAGCCGUUAAGCUCGCCGCCUGGGUAGUACGGUCGCAAGAUUGAAACUUAAAGGAAUUGGCGGGGGAGCACCACAAGGGGUGAAGCCUGCGGUUCAAUUGGAGCCAACGCCGGGAAUCUUACCGGGAGCGACAGCAGAAUGAAGGUCAGGCUAAAGACUUUACCUGACGGGCUGAGAGGAGGUGCAUGGCCGUCGACAGCUCGUGCUGUGAAGUGUCCUGUUAAGUCAGGCAACGAGCGAGACCCUCAUCAUUAAUUGCUACUGAUGGCCGAAAGGGUAUCAGAGCUAGUUAGUGAAACUGCCGCCGCGAAGGCGGAGGAAGGAGAGGGCCACGGCAGGUCAGUAUGCCCCGAAACUCCCGGGCUACACGCGGGCUGCAAUGGUAGGUACAAUAGGAACCAAUUCCGAAAGGAGGAGGCAAUCCAGAAAACCUACCUCAGUUGAGACUGAGGGUUGUAACCCACCCUCACGAAUCUGGAAUCCCUAGUAACCGCGUGUCAUCACCGCGC